rnacentral:piRNA from 1 species
UGCUUUGCGGACUGGAUUAUUGUUUGAGGU